rnacentral:rRNA from 1 species
AGCAGCCGCGGUAAUUCCAGCUCCAAUAGCGUAUAUUAAAGUUGCUGCAGUUAAAAAGCUCGUAGUUGAAUUUCGGGAUCAAUAUGUUGGUCGUGCCUCGGUACGUACUAGCUUAUUGGUUUCUCCCUUCUGAUGAACCAUGAUGUCAUUUAUUUGGUGUUAUGAGGAAUCAGGACUGUUACUUUGAAAAAAUUAGAGUGUUUAAAGCAGGCUCACGCUUGAAUACAUUAGCAUGGAAUAAUGAAAUAGGACGUUUGAUUCUAUUUUGUUGGUUUCUAGGAUCGACGUAAUGAUUAAUAGGGAUAGUUGGAGGCAUUAGUAUUCAAUUGUCAGAGGUGAAAUUCUUGGAUUUAUUGAAGACUAACUACUGCGAAAGCAUUUGCCAAGGAUGUUUUCAUUAAUCAAGAACGAAAGUUAGGGGAUCGAAGACGAUCAGAUACCGUCGUAGUCUUAACCAUAAACUAUGCCGACUAGGGAUCGGAUGAUGUUGAUUUUUUAAUGACUCAUUCGGCGCCUUACG